UAUGAAGCGGGGAUAGAGUAUGAAUAUGUAGUAGGUGCUUAUACCUAUGCAUGUCUUUACACUAUAAGUAGCUGCUUGUUAAGCUAUACUGUGUGCAAGCUAGGAGGAGAACCCCCUUGCACCCCAGUGCUGGAAAUAAACAUACCUGCUUUAUAACUCAUUUUGGGUUAUAGGGUUUGAUUCCGCAAAACAAUUUGGCACCCCAGAUGGGACACCCUCUCUGCCCAGCUGCAGGAUCGGUGGGGAGUGGGACAUUCUAAGGCAUGCCCCGACCUGAAGGAUGCCUACUUUUGCCUCCCUCUCCAUGAAGCCAGACAGAAAAUAUUUGCAUUUGAAUGGAAAACCCUGAAAGCAGAUGCAGAACUCAACUCACCUGGAUAUUUGAUAUCAACUUGCAAAGGAUCUUGAGGCCUGGAAGCCCCACCUGAGGAAGGGAGAUUGUUGCAGUAUGUAGAUGAUACCCGGAUUGCCACCAAGACAAGGCUUGCAUGACCUGGAUGGUGAGUCUGUUAAACUUUUUGGGGCUCCAGGGAUACUGGGUAUCUAAAAGAAGGCCCAAAUAAUGCAAUCUACUUGGGCUAUGAAAUCAGCGCUGGACAAAGAAAUUUGGGACAGGCCUGAGAAGAGGCAAUAUACCAAACCCCAAGACUGUAAACAGUGAAAGAGUUAUGAACUUUCUUGGGGAUGACGAGGUGGUGUCGGCUAUGGAUCUGUAACUAUGGACUGCUUGUUAAACCCCUGUAUGCACUACCACCGCAAAGAGGCUGUGUGAGCCUUUGAACAGCUGAAGAAAGCCCUGAUGUCAGCCCCGGCCUUAGAACUUCAAGAUGUGAGUAAGCCAUUUUUCCUUUUCUCUCAUGAGAAGCAAGGGAUUACCCUAGGGCCUGUCUGUUUACGAGCGGUUUCAGCCGUUGUGCUAAACAUCCAGGAGGCACGAAGAUUUACCCUGGACCAGAAAAUGACUGUGUUAGUGUCUGGAAGCAAGAGUGAAAAUACAGGAGAACCAGUGCACCAGGACUGCUAAGCAUCAAGGCCACAUACUUGAGCCAUUCGGACCUGAAAGACAAUCCCAUAGAAGACGCUGAGGGCUGGUUCAUGGAUGGAAACAGCUAUGUCUUAAGCAAUAAAAGACAUACCAGGCCAAAAACAUCAAGCAUGCAGAGGGAUUCUGAGACUGCUGGAAGCAGUCCAGCUACCUGAGAAAGUGACAGUCAUGCACAUCAAGGCACACCAGAAAGUGAAUUUGGAAUUGGGGAGAGGAAAUGAGCUGGCAGACAGAGAGGCAAAACUGGCAGCCAAAGGUGAGGUAAUAACAACAGGGGCUUUGAUCCCUGACAGGCGAAUCUCCUUAGAAGGUAAGCAGAAUAUACCAAGGAAGAUCAGAUAAUGAGAAAAUUAUUAUAGACCUGGGAGGGUCAUAUAGUAAAGAGGGAUGAGUCCUCACUCCACAAGGGAAACUAAUCAUUCCCCCUUAUUUAACAUGGCUUUUGAUGAGGGAAGAACACAGGAAGAGACAUGAGGGGAGCAGAAGCUUUAUAGAAACACCUAAUUAAAGGGAUUGCAGCUAGAAAUUUAUACAUCAUUGUAAGACAAGUGGCUCAGCAGUGUGACCUUUGCCUCCAGACUAAUCCCAAAAUUACCCCAAACCAGAAAUGGGCCAAAUUGGAAGAGGCAACGGGCCUGGGCAAUAAUGGCAGAUUAAUUUUUCAGAACUCCCAAGACAGGGGGGAUGUUGAUACUUAUUGGUAUUAACUGGUACCUUUUCAGGUUGGCUGGAGGCAUUCCCUACUAGAACAAGGAGAUAGCCAGAACAUUAAUACAGGAGAUAAUACCACUCUUUUUGUUCCAGCAACUAUGUCUCCUGAUAGGGGACCACGUCUUAUCCCAGAAGUAGUACAACAGAUCAGUCACUAUUUGCAUAUGAAAUCAUGACCUGCAUGGUGGCAUUGGACAAACAGCUCCAAAAGAUUGCCCUGGUUUUGCAAAUCUGGAGCCAGCUGACCCCAGCAGGCUGGUCCAGCUGCUCUGCCCACUGGGCUGCUACCAUAUCUAUCCUGUCCCACUGGCUUUUGGUACAGCCAGAGCAAGUCCCAGGGAGGUGAAUGGUUUGCAGCCUUGAACCAGGUGCUGCUGCCACCCACACCCCACUCCCUCCACCAGACAGGGAGCAAAGGUAUGGCCCUAGAGCAGGUAAAGGUGGGGCUGUGCCUCACACCAGCUGCAUCUGUAUAGAUAAAUCUACAACCCAAAAGAAGCAGAUGAGAAGCAAAGCCUGCAGGCAGGCACCAAAAAAAACCCCUUUCGUAGGCCUUGGAAGAUGCCCUGGAGUAAAGCUCCAGUGAGUGGCACGUAUGAAAACUAUAGGUGAAAUGGUGCCUACCACCUCUGCACAGUAAUGCCUAACCUCAAUAUUAACUGAGGGUAUAAAAUUUUCCUGGCUGACAUAAUUCCAUAAUAGUAGGAAAUAAUUAUAUAAAUCUCACUAUUUAAAAAAAAAAAAGUCUUUUUUAACAAUGUUUUCUCUGCUUUGUAUAGGACUAUCCUUCAGCCAGGACAGAAAACGUGCUCUUUGGGAUCAGAGCACAUCAGCCUGCAGCUCUCACCUGUACAUGCCAGCACUUCAAAGUUUCCUGCCCAGAGUUCAGACCCUACGACUGUCUCCUGUUUAUCCCAUGUAUUUGCCAUCACAACAUUAAUUUUUUGACCUUUCUUUUUAUGAAAAAAUUGAAAUUUUUAUCCAUUUUCUCAGUUUCCCUUCCUACCACUUAAGUGUUGUCACUUUCUUGCAGUGAGAUGAAGUAGGUCACUUCAAUUUGCUGCUUCAGUCCCAGAUCCAGGUAGAUUUUUCUCAUUUAGGAUCAUGUGGGCAAGCUGGGAAGAGAAAGUGCAGUGCUUCAUCUUGGAAGUCUGGGAUCUGGCGAUAUCUCUUAGGGUGAGAGAGAGUACUUUGUGGGUGACUGCUUUCCCAGCAAAUUCUGACUAUUUCUGUGUAUAGACUCGGCAAGGCAUGGGUUUAUGGCUCAAAGCAAGUGAUGCCCCCAGCCCCCGGCGGCAAGACUGGAAGUGGUGGAGAGCGUGGCUGGACCUGCCUGGCGGGGGACAUGAGAGCGUGUUACCUAUCCUCCCACUGGAUCCAGUGAGGGACAGGGACAGAGAACUUAAAAAUCCACACGAAAAACUGCAACCUGGUGUGGUGUGGUGUGUGGUGUGGUGUGGCGUGGUGUGGAAUGGUAUAGCAUGGUGUGGCGUGGUAUGGUGUGGCAUGCCAUAGUGUGGCAUGGUGUGGUGUGGCAUCCGUGGAUACCCACCAUCUUCUGGACCCUCUGGAUAAAGAAACACGUGUUGUUACAUGCAGAGUCCCUAAAGUGGUGACUCUCAUCUUUCCCAUUUCUCUUGUACCUAUUUCUCUCUUUUUCCUUUUCUCUCUUUUCUUCUUUUCUCCAUUUUCUCUCUUUCUCUCCCUUUUCUCGUUGCAACACGUGCA